rnacentral:lncRNA from 1 species
CACAUUGGGGUCACUGAGGACACACUGGGGACAGAUUGGGGACAUUGGGGACACAGUGGGGUUGAUGGGGACACAUUGGGGUCAAUGGGGACACUGGGGACACAUUGGGGUCAUUGGGGACACAUUGGGGCCAAUGGGGACACACUGGGGUCACUGGGGUCAAUGGGGACACACUGGGGACACACUGGGGACACAGCGGGGUCACUGAGGACACAUUGGGGACACAUUGGGGACAUUGGGGUCAAUGGGGACAGAUUGGGGACACACUGGGGUUGAUGGGGACACAUUGGGGUCAAUGGGGACAUUGGGGACACACUGGGGACAUUGGGGACACAUUGGGGCCAAUGGGGACACACUGGGGUCACUGGGGUCAAUGGGGACACACUGGGGAUACAGUGGGGUCACUGAGGACACAUUGGGGACACACUGGGGACAUUGGGGUCAAUGGGGACAGAUUGGGGACACACUGGGGUUGAUGGGGACACAUUGGGGUCAAUGGGGACAUUGGGGACACACUGGGGACAUUGGGGACACACUGGGGUCAUUAGGGACACAUUGGGGUCAUUGGGGAUGGAUUGGGGACACAGUGGGGUCACUGGGGCACAUUGGGGUCAAUGGGGACACAUUGGGGACACACUGGGGACAGAUUGGGGACGCAGUGGGGUUACUGGGGCACAUUGGGGUCACUGAGGACACAUUGGGGACACAUUGGGGUCAUUGGGGACACACUGGGGACACACUGGGGUCACUGGGGCACACUGGGGUCAAUGGGGACACACUGGGGACACACUGGGGCCAAUGGGGACACAUUGGGGUCACUGAGGUCAAUGGGGACACAUUGGGGUCACUGAGGACACAUUUGGGACACUGGGGACACAAUGGGGACACACUGGGGUCACUGGGGCAUAUUGGGGUCAAUGGGGUCAUUGGGGACACACUGGGGACACUUUGGGGACAUUGGGGACACUGGGGACGCAGCGGUGUCUCACAGCCACGAAAUGGCAGAAGCGCGCAUCGCGGCGCUGCUUGGCCUUCAGCUGCUCCAGGGCGAAGGACUGACGGCUGCAGAAGCGAGCGGACAGCUUCUGGAACCAGCGGCCCUCGGCGCCGUCGAACUGGGGGAAACGUGGCGAGGACACGCUAAGGACACGCUAAGGACACGCUAAGGACACGCCAUUACAUGCUAAGGGUGUGAUAAGGAUGUGAUAAGGGUGUGACAAGUACAGCUUCUGGAACCAGCGGCCCUCGGCGCCGUCGAACUGGGGGAAACGUGGCAAGUACACGCUAAGGACACGCUAAGGACACGCUAAGGACACGCUAAGAACACGCCAUGACACGCUAAGGGCGUGAUAAGGGAGUGAUAAGGGAGUGAUAAGGACGUGACAAGUACAGCUUCUGGAACCAGCGGCCCUCGACGCCGUCGAACUGGGGGAAACGUGGCGAGGACACGCUAA